rnacentral:tRNA from 1 species
GCCCGUCUAGCUCAGUUGGUAGAACCCAAGGCUCUUGGGUCGUGGGUUCGAGCCCCACGGUGGGCG